UACGAAGGGGGCUAGCGUUGCUCGGAAUCACUGGGCGUAAAGGGUGCGUAGGCGGGUCUUUUAAGUCAGGGGGUGAAAUCCUGGAGCUCAACUCCAGAACUGCCUUUGAUACUGAAGAUCUUGAGUCCGGGAGAGGUGAGUGGAACUGCGAGUGUAGAGGUGAAAUUCGUAGAUAUUCGCAAGAACACCAGUGGCGAAGGCGGCUCACUGGCCCGGUACUGACGCUGAGGCACGAAAGCGUGGGGAGCAAACAGG
rnacentral:rRNA from 1 species